GGAGCAGCCGGGAUUGCUCGGUCCGGGGCAGGCCCAUGGCCGAGCUGGCGCUGAGCCGGGAGCUGGACGAGCGGCUGCUCCACCUGCUGGGGGCGCUGGAGGCGCUGCAGGGCAGGAGGGACGAAUUCAACCGCCGCGUGGAGCAGGGCUGGUUCUCGCUCUCUAGGUCCCGCUUCGCCAUGGGCUGCAAGUCGGUCUCUGCCCUGCAGUACGGGGCCUGCAUGGAGCCGCUGGUCCGGGUGCGCGCCAGGGGGCACUCCCCAGACCGAGAGAGGGGGUCAGUGGUGUGGUUCCCCCUUCCAGCGAGGGGGAGAGCGGGCAGGUCGCCUUCCAGGUCAUCCCAGGAGGAUGGGACCCGUCCGCAGAGGCUGCUGAGGGGUCACCGGCCGUGGAGGAAAUCGGGCCCCAAGACCAAGUCUUGCGGCAGCGAAAGGGCCCAGGGAAAACAGAGGAUCCUGGGUCUCCCCUGGAGGCUGCCCCCGAACCCCCUGAUUCCCCAAAAGGGGCCUCAUCCCAGGACCCACUGACCUGGUUCGGGAUCCUGGUGCCCCAGAGCCUCCGGCAGGCUCAGAGCAGCUUCAAAGAGGGGAUUCUCCUGGCCGGGGAGAUCGCCAGCCUGCAGAGCGACCUCCAGGCCACGCGGGCGCAGUAUCGGGCGCUGCUGGAGAGGAAGCGCCAGCUGCUGGCCACAGAGGGGUAGUGCAGCCAACGCCCCCCUGGGGCUUUCGCACCCCACAUGCUGGGCUGGGCGUAUUGUGACCUCCGACACCCAUGUCAAUAAACUGGGAUCGCUGCU